rnacentral:rRNA from 1 species
CGCAAGCCUGACGGAGCAAGACCGCGUGCGGGAUGACGGCCUAAUGGUUGUAAACCGCUUUUCUCUGGGAAGAUGAUGACGGUACCAGAGGAAUCAGCCUCGGCUAACUCCGUGCCAGCAGCCGCGGUAAUACGGAGGAGGCAAGCGUUAUCCGGAAUUAUUGGGCGUAAAGCGUCCGUAGGUGGUUAUUCAAGUCUGCUGUCAAAGCGUGGGGCUUAACUCCAUAGAGGCAGUGGAAACUGGAUGACUUGAGUGCGGUAGGGGUCGAGGGAAUUCCCAGUGUAGCGGUGAAAUGCGUAGAUAUUGGGAAGAACACCAGUGGCGAAAGCGCUCGACUGGGCCUGCACUGACAUUGAGGGACGAAAGCUAGGGGAGCG